rnacentral:lncRNA from 1 species
UUUCCUGUCAUCCCCCAAGUUCAUGACAACAUCUCGAUCUCCCACAUGAACAUUGAAGUUCAUGACAACAUCUUGAUCUCCCAGAUGAACUUCAUUGAAGUUCGUGACAUAAUCAUGACCUCCCACAUGAACUUCAUUGAAGUUCGUGACAACAUCUUGAUCUCCCACAUGAACUUCAUUGACCUUCUCACCAUGCUUGAUGAUACGGACAUCAAGUAGUAAUGAAAAAUCUAUCUGAAGAAAAGCUUCACUCAUCAGCAUUUUACGAUGAAGGUAAAAAUUUAAACAAAAAAAGAAAAAUCAGCAGAUGCAGCUUGGCCUUGAUUUUGCUAGAUUAUAAGUUGAAAAAAGUAUGAAACCAUGAAAAACAAAAUACUAUUGCACCACAACUGUCACAACUAUACCAUACACAAGAAUGCAACCUCAAACACAUAGGCAGAGCAUCCGUUUUGACAUGUAAAAUCCGACAUCAGCAAUGUAAUUUGAUUACCAAACAGUAACAAUAUCACAAAAACAAAGCGGAGUCCUCAACUGAAUAUUUCUCCUUGGCGGUAAAGCAACAAACAAACAAAUAAAUAUGAUAUCCAUGCUUCUGUCCUUCUGAUUUUAUUUUAGAGACGCCUUUUUAUGGUUUAGACUUAUUUUCAUCAGUUUUCAAUGAUACUUCAUAAUGUCAAUCUUUAAUCAAAGAAAAAUAGCUGGCUGAGCACUUCAGCCAUAUUUAACAAUAUUAACAUUUUUUCACUACUUAAUAUAUAUGCAGUGGAACCUUAUCCCAAAGUACUAAAAUGGAGAGUUAUUGAAGAUUCAUGACGUAGAUAAAUUUACCCGUAAAGAGCCAUCUU